GACGAACGCUGGCGGCGUGCUUAACACAUGCAAGUCGAACGGAAAGGCCCUGCUUUUGUGGGGUGCUCGAGUGGCGAACGGGUGAGUAACACGUGAGUAACCUGCCCUUGACUUUGGGAUAUCUUCAUGAAACUGGGGCUAAUACCGGAUAGGAGCUCCUGCUGCAUGGUGGGGGUUGGAACGUUUCGGUGGUUGGGGGUGGACUCGCGGCCUCUCAGCUUGGUGGUUGGGUAGUGGCUUACCAAGGCUUUGCAGGGUAGCCGGCCUGGGGGGGGGACCGGCUCCGUUAGGAUGGGGAUGCGGCCCAGACUAGUAUGGGAGGCAGCGGAGGAGAGGGGAACACAAUAGGCGGGAGCCAGAUGCAGCAACGCCGUGUGGGGGAUGACGGGCUGGGGGUAGGGAACCGAUGUCGCCUGUGACGGAGCGUUAGUGACGGUAAUGGGUAAAGAAGCACCGGCUAACUACGUG
rnacentral:rRNA from 1 species